CGCGUUCGGCCCCAGGGGUGGUAAGACAGGCUCCCUCCCCCGCCCCAUACAAGCCCCGCCUGGAUUGCCCGCCUGGGUCUGGAGUACUGGGGGUCACCUCCCAGCCUCCUGACCCUUGGACUCCACGGUAGGGCGAGAGUGGACCCCGCGUCCGAGGACCAAACCGGAGCGUGGGCCUCCACUUCUCUGCAGAAGAGCCACGAAGGUACAAAACGAUUGGGGGAGGGGGGUACAAGGUGGACAGCUGCGCUCUCCCCUGCUGGCGCCCAGGUAGGGAGAAGGGGGGCACCUUAGCUGCAAGAAGAUCAAACCCGGGGAUUCCUUGGCGGUGAUCCUCCGGAAGUGACCAGCUAGAUCCCAGGGGUAGGGGCGAGAGGUGUGGCAGGUUUACCGUUCACUCACCUUCUCCUGCGCUCGGGUCAGCUUCUUCUGUACGUUGCUGGCGAUCUUCCCCGCCGUCACCCCCUUGCUCCCCAUCUCUGCCAUCCUGGCGCCGGCCUCGCCCGAAGCGAGCGCGGAUAAUGGCGCGGGGAGGCCGUGCGCGCCGCACUCCCAGCCUCCAGCCCCGGCCGCUCCACCAGCCUGAGCCCUGGCUCCACGCCGCGCACUAGAACAGCUCAGGGGACUGACGGAGACGGAGCGUGCGCGGGGAGAGCGAGUGUACAAGUGUUUCACUGCUGUGUACGGUGUGCACCACAUGCGUGCCUG
rnacentral:lncRNA from 1 species